AUGUUAUUAUUUUAAUUUUAUCAAGGUUAUUUAAAAAGUUGUGAAUUUUAUUUGAUUCAAUUGAUUAAAAUUGUUUUAAAUCGAUUAAGUCAUCUAAAAAAUGCAUUAUAUACAUUUUUGAUUUAUUUAAAUAAUGUGUGUUUCUUGGUGUGCUUCUUUGAUUCAAUCUGAAUCGUUGAUUCAAAUUAAUCAAGGAUCUAAGUUCAUAAUCCAUGUACAUUUUAUCAUCCGAUCAGAAUUUAGAAAUAAAUUGAAUAAUAAUUAAAAAAAAUGAAAAUAAAAGAAAACUCUCUUCUUCCAACAGUAAUAAAAAAAUAAUAUUAAAAAAGAGAAAAGAAAAAGUAAUAAAAGACUCCCACCACUCACUCACUGUGAGGAAGGAAAAAAAUGAAAAGAGACAAAAAAAUAAAAAAGAGAAAGAAACUCCUUCAUCUUCCGUCCACCUACCACCAUCUCCAUUUUCACUUCCUCUUCACCAUUCUCCACCGCUUCACCUUCCACACACCAUACCGUCUUCG
rnacentral:lncRNA from 1 species